GACGUAGGGUCCAAGCGUUGUCCGGAUUUACUGGGCGUAAAGAGCGCGUAGGCGGUCUGUUAAGUGUAGAGUGAAAUCUCCAGGGCUCAACCCGGAAACUGCUCUGCAUACUGGCAGACUGGAGUGAUGCAGAGGUUUGUGGAAUUCCUGGUGUAACGGUGAAAUGUGUUGAUAUCAGGAGGAACACCGGUGGCGAAGGCGGCAUCCUGGACCGGUAUUGACGCUGAGGCGCGAAAGCCAGGGGAGCAAACGGG
rnacentral:rRNA from 1 species